CAAAUAUGUCAAAGCAGUUACAAAGAAGUAGCAUAAACACCCAACUGAUACUCGCUGACCGACAGACCCCUUUAGAUUAUUGAGCACUUUCUAAACAGUUGUGUGACAUGUGUCCACACACUCUACUAAAGUUCUGACUAUUCGAAAAUUGUUCAAAACCUUAGGACAACAAACUCCAGUACGCCAAAAUAAAAUGAAAUGCUAUAGAACAUUUUUCAGUAUAGUUCUUUAUCAUCACCAACUUAAAAAUAUGUUUGUUGGCUUAAAAAUUACAAUUUAAAAAAUUAAAUUACUUUGUAUUUUCGUCGAGAUCAAGUGUAUAUAACCCAUUAAAUUAUUCAAAGUACGAUUAAAUGGGGAUAAAGUGAAUGCUUCCGAUCGAAAAUGUUCUCUGCAUAGUUCUUAUUCAUUGAUACGAGUUUCAAGCGAAAUAAACUCGAAUUACCAGAUCAAAAAAAGAGAAAACAUAAAUAAGACAGUUCAAGACUAUAAAAGCGCCACCCACCACAGUCGGAAGUUAUAAAUGGAAAAUAAGCAUGGGUACUUAUCCACAGACCUUGAAACUGAUGUUCCUGUCAUGUCUGGCCAUCGCGUUAUUGGUACCUCCAGGUGCAACUGGAGUCGGCCAAGAAGACAUACCAAUUUCUGUUGGGCUGCUACAUCGCAGCAAGCGGUCCAUGACUACAAUCUGUGUGAAGAUUACGCCAGGUGGUUUAAAGAAUG